GACAGAGGGUGCAAACGUUGCUCGGAAUCACUGGGCGUAAAGGGCGUGUAGGCGGGAAGGGAAGUCAGAUGUGAAAUCCCUGGGCUCAACCCAGGAACUGCAUUUGAAACUCCCUUUCUUGAGUGUCGGAGAGGAAAGCGGAAUUCCUGGUGUAGAGGUGAAAUUCGUAGAUAUCAGGAGGAACACCGGUGGCGAAGGCGGCGACCUGGUCCGAUACUGACGCUGAGGCGCGAAAGCGUGGGGAGCAAACAGG
rnacentral:rRNA from 1 species